UAACCGAUCGCGUAGCGAAGCGUAGAAGUUGUUCGAAGCUAGCUAGCUUGAAUCGCUUCUUAAUUGAAUCAGGAUUAAGAAGGCGUUACUCAGCGUAACGCCCGAUUUAGUCCGACUGCAUUUUUAGCUCGAACACGAACCAAUGUACGCGGAUCGUUUGCUGCAAAUUUUGUGCAAUUGAAAACACUUCGCUCAAAUUUCUCCCAAAUUAAUUUACUGGCUUAGCCAAUAGGAAUGCGCCACAUGCUGAUGCCAUUCCUCCCCAUUAUCAUCAGAGGUCUACUCAAUACUUGCUUUAGUAAAGCUGAUCAUUCCAAAAUCAACCAGCAAGUGUGCAAGUUCGCAGAAUACAAAGUGAUCAAUAGUAGUCGAAGAUAGUGGAAGAAGAAGUGAAGCAUAGUCAGUUUCAGGGUAGUGCGAUACCAUCCAAAGAAAAAGGAAUAGAAUUCAACCGAGUGAAUAUCGAGCGGUUGAAGCGCAAGGCGAAAACCUUCGAAACGAAGGUUUUUAUCCCGGACAGGUUCGAGACGGUCACGAGAAACCGGAAGCCCAGCGGAUAGUUCCAUCUCCGAGUCGGUGGCGUCAUCGUCCUGCCACGCGUCCCACGAGUAUCGUAAGACGCGCUCCCCGUAGGGGCCCAAGCCAUCACCCCGAGCAAGUGGGGACUCGCCCGUACUCGUGUAAGUGAUUCCCCGCUGCACCUUCGAACCUCACGUGACGCUCCGGUCGCGAGUAUUCACCGGCGCCAUCGCGCUAGCCCCGCUGCAACGCACCACGUUGUGCAGUGUGAAGUGUGAAUAGGUGAUCACCGAAGCCAAGCAAGCGAUUUUCUGAAAACCAUCCAACAUCACGUGAGUUGUGUGGCCGUCGCGUGAGGUGUGAAUCAGUGCGUGAACCGCCGUCUAGAGCGUCCAAGAGCCCGCCGAGCCAUUCGGUGUCAAGCAUCGUACGCCGCCUUCGGCUAGGCCCACCUCCUCAGCCUGCCGAUCCCAUCAGCGUAAAGCAUCGUGCGCCUCCCUCGAACCGCUCGCCUCCAGCGUCAGCAGCAUAGCAUCAGCAGCAGUUACCAACUACAAUAAGUAAAGCUGAUCAUUCCAAAAUCAACCAGCAAGUGUGCAAGUUCGCAGAAUACAAAGUGAUCAAUAGUAGUCGAAGAUAGUGGAAGAAGAAGUGAAGCAUAGUCAGUUUCAGGGUAGUGCGAUACCAUCCAAAGAAAAAGGAAUAGAAUUCAACCGAGUGAAUAUCGAGCGGUUGAAGCGCAAGGCGAAAACCUUCGAAACGAAGGUUUUUAUCCCGGACAGGUUCGAGACGGUCACGAGAAACCGGAAGCCCAGCGGAUAGUUCCAUCUCCGAGUCGGUGGCGUCAUCGUCCUGCCACGCGUCCCACGAGUAUCGUAAGACGCGCUCCCCGUAGGGGCCCAAGCCAUCACCCCGAGCAAGUGGGGACUCGCCCGUACUCGUGUAAGUGAUUCCCCGCUGCACCUUCGAACCUCACGUGACGCUCCGGUCGCGAGUAUUCACCGGCGCCAUCGCGCUAGCCCCGCUGCAACGCACCACGUUGUGCAGUGUGAAGUGUGAAUAGGUGAUCACCGAAGCCAAGCAAGCGAUUUUCUGAAAACCAUCCAACAUCACGUGAGUUGUGUGGCCGUCGCGUGAGGUGUGAAUCAGUGCGUGAACCGCCGUCUAGAGCGUCCAAGAGCCCGCCGAGCCAUUCGGUGUCAAGCAUCGUACGCCGCCUUCGGCUAGGCCCACCUCCUCAGCCUGCCGAUCCCAUCAGCGUAAAGCAUCGUGCGCCUCCCUCGAACCGCUCGCCUCCAGCGUCAGCAGCAUAGCAUCAGCAGCAGUUACCAACUACAAUAAGGUCAGAACGAAAUUAGUUUUUAAUCAAACCUUUGUAGAACACAAACUAACCCUCUAACCUAACACCAUUUGUACGAAUACAAAGCAAUAUCGUUUUUUAAACAACCAAACUCGAUUUGUAUCGUUAGGCGUUUGGUGACGUCAAGUAUAUUGGAUUGGGAGUCUUUUGAGUUAGGUACCGUGAUCGAUAGACCCGCCCUGAGCAAGUUAGCCGGGCAGACCUUACAACGCGCAUUUCCGCAUCACGCUGAAAGGCGUGUUGGCGCUUAAGCGGAUUUGUAACUUUAACUUCUAGGGCAUUGGUCAAUCUGUUCGUGCCAGAAAAGUAGUCCUGUUUAGGUUCAGUUCCGUUUUAGUUAGCUGUUGAGAUCCGCUUCUCUUCUGUUACCGAACCCGGGGACCAAGAUACCCACGGCACAGGCGUACCGGAGACGUAGGUAUCGUAUCGUUUCUUUUAGUUUCGCAGUCGAACCGGGCCUGUCCCGUAUUUAUCUUGUUAU